ACCAAUGUCCCAGUCCCUGGAGAGGUCUCACCCCUCACCAAGAUGCACUCAGGGCCUAUUAAAUGAAGAAACUAAGGCAGAGAGGUUAGAUGACUUGCCCUUAGAUCACAGAGAUGAGAAGAUGCAGAGCUGGAUUUGAAACCAGGCGAAAGCUGUUGAUGUACAAUAAUUGAGUUUUCUCAGGGUGUCUAAAGAAGAAAAGGCAUGUCAUCAAGAGGUGCAGCCCAAUCCUUCAUAUUUAUCUCUCUCUGUAAUUUAAAUUUUUUUGCUAUAAAAUAUGUAAUACAUAAAUGAUAUAUAAAUUAAAGAUUGCCAAAAUGAAAGUCCGUGUAUUCAUUUUCCAAGCUCAAAAGUAAAGCAUAACAGGUAAUUUAGGAACCUUCUGUGUGCCCCUCACUGAUUUGCUACCAGUAGAUCCCCCAAAGUAACCACUGCCCUGAAUUUUGCCUUGCUUUUCUUAUAGUUUUACCACAUAUGCCUGUAUCCAUAAGCAAUAUAUUUUUAGUUUUGCUUAUACAUAGUUGAACUGUAUAAAGUUGUUAUACUAUAUGUAUUCUUUUGUGACUGUUUUAUAUGCUAAAUACUAUGUUUUUGAGGUCAGUCUAUGCCGAAGCUAUUACCUGUGGUUCAUUCAUUUUCAGUAUUGAAUAAGUAUGCCUCAUUCCGUUUAUCAUUCUCUUCUUGAUUGAAAUUUGAUUUGCUUCUGGUCUUUUUUAUUACAAACAGCCAAGAUCAUUCUCAUGCAUGUCCCUUGAUGCAUAUGUGCAAACGUUUCUUUAGGAAAGAGUUACUGAGUUAUAUAGGGUAUGAAAAUGUUAAACUUCGUAUAUAAUGCUAAAAUGUUUUCCAAAGUUUUUGCACCAUUUUAUUCCCGUUCCCUGCCACCCAUAAUUGUUGAAAGCUUGGAUUGGUUCACAUGGUCAUCUGUGCUUACCAUUGGACGGUGUUAAAUUUUUGAUGUUGUUAGUAGUUAUACAAUGGUAUUUCAUAGUUAAAUUACAUUUACCAAAUUGCUAAUGAGAUUGACCAUCUUUUUAUUUGAUAGGCCAUUUAAAAUUUUCUGUUGUCUUUUUUGAAGACUUUAUUUCCCAUAUAUCCCCUAUCCCCACACAAGCAGAGCCUCCCCCAAUAUCAACAUCACUCAACAGAAAGGUGCAUUUUUUUUUUUUAACUGAGGAUGAACCGACAUUGAUACAUAGUCACCCAAAUUCCAUAGUUUACGUUAACGGUUCACUCUUGGCUAUUGUACAUUCUAUGGGUUUGGACAAAUGUAUAAUGACAUAUAUCCCUUACUAUGUAUCCUACAGAAUAUUUUCACUGCCCUAAAAAUCCUCUGUGCUCUGCCUGUUCAUCUCUCACCCACCUCACCCCUGGCAACCACUGAUCUCUUUACUCUCUCUAUAGUUUUGCCUUUUCCAAAAUGUCAUAUAGUUGGAAUCAUACAGGAUACAGCCUUUUCCGGCUGUUAUAAACAUCCCUAUGUAGGUUUUUGUAUGGGCAUAAGUUUUCAACUCCUUUGGGUAAAUACCAAAGAAUGUGACUGCUGGAUCACAUGGUAAGAGUAUGUUUAGUUUUGUAAGAAACCUCCCAACUCUCUUUUGAAGUGGCUGCACCAUUUUGCAUUCUCACCAGCUAUGUAUGAGAGUUCCUGUUGCUCCACAUCCUUUCAGCAUUUCAUGUUGUCAGCGUUCCAGAUUUUGGCCAUUCUAAUAGGUGUGUAGUGGUAUCUCAAUGUUGUUUCAAUUUGCAUUUUCCUGAUGACAUAUUAUAUAGAGCAUGUUUUAAUAUGCUUAUUUGCCCUGUGUAUGCCUUCUUUGGUGAAGUGUUUGUUAAGAUCUUUGGCCUAUUUUUUCAUCAGGUUGUUUGUUUUCUUACUGAUGAGUUUUAAGAGUUCUUUGUAUAUUUUACAUAACAGUCCUUUAUCAGAUGUGUCUUUUGCAAAUACUUUCUCCCAGCCUGUCACUUGUCUUCUAAUUCUCUUGACAUAGUCUUUUGCAAAGCAGAUGCUUUAAAUUUUAAUGAAGUCCAGCUUAUCAAUUAUUUCUUUCAUGGGUUGCAUCUUUGGUGGUGUAUUUAAAAAAGGCAUCACUAUAGCCAGGGUCAUCCAGGUUUUCUCCUGUGUAAUCUUCUAGGAGUUUUAUGGUUUUGCAUUUUACUUUUAAGUCUAUGAUCCAUUUUGACAAAUGUAUAAGGUCUGUGUCUAGAUUCAUUUUUUUUUUUUGCACAUGGAUGUCUAUUUCUUCCAGCACCAUUUGUUGAAGGGAUUAUCUUUGCUAGUGGGAAAGCUUUGAGUUUCUCACCAUUAAGUAUGUUAGGUGUAGAUUUUGUGUAGAUAGUUGUCAUGUAGUUGAGAAAGUUCCUUUCUAUUCCUAGUUUACUGAGGGUUUUUAUCAUGAAUAGGUGUUAGAUUUUGUCAAAUUCUUUUUCUGCAUUUAUUGAUAUGAUCAUGUGAUUUUUUCUUUUUUUUAGUGUUUUGAUGUGAUGGAUUACAUUGCUUGAUUUUCUGAUGUUGAGCCAACAUGUAUCUAUAUUCAUGAGAGA